AUGCAACAAGAUGCUUCCAAUUACAAAUGAACCUUGUGUGUUCAAGUUCAGCAGGAACCGUACUUGAAAAUCAAUCCAUCAACAAAUAUUUAUUGAGUGUCCCUGAUGCACAUGUCCCUGGCUGGCAUAACACACUUUGUUAGAAGUUACUUCUAAUCAUUACCUAUGCUGAAAAGUAAUGGAUUUCUUUAGGAAAUGCAAUUUCUUAAGCGGUCUGUGUUCCCAUCUCUAGCCACCUACCCCACGUGGGCGUGCGCACUUGGCUGCUGCCUGUGUACACUCUCCAGCCACGUUGAUCCUCCUUCCCCACAAGCUGUUUAUAACCUGAUGUUACUCCUAUCAUCUUGAAAAACAGGGGUGAAAUUUGACCCCAUAUCUUCUUUCACUGCCACCCCAUUUCUCUGUUCUCCUUGAAGCUGCAACGUCUUCAAAGAGCCGACUGUUUCCCUUUGCACCUGGUCCUCCAUCUUUCUUCAAACCCAGUGAAGUUCAGCCUUCAUUGCACACCCGGAAGACAUGGCUCCUUUCAUGCUCCCUGGGAGCUUCAGGGUCAGCUCUUUCUUAGUGGUCUACCAACCACACUGGUGGUUCUCAGUCUUCUCUGUUGGAUUCUUCUCAUCUGGUCUCUGGUGUUGACAUCUCCCUCCUGAAUUUUAGGCUCACAAGAAGGUAUGAAGAUAGUAAAGAGAGUUCCUGUGGACCCUUCACCCUGCUUCCCCCAAUGAUGGCAACUUGUGGAGCCUAUGAUAGCAUUCAUCAAAACCAGGAGACUGACCUUUGAGCAAGGCCAUCAACAGGCUGCAGCCACACGGAGGAUGUGAACCAUUAUAGCUGUUGGACGAUGUGUGGGUUUUGAAGUGUGAAAGGCCCCCUCAGUUUCCAGGAUGCCCUGAACUGCUGAACUGUUUUGGCCCUGGCGCUCUGGGCAGUCACCUGAUGCAUCGCCUUCCAUCCUACUCAUGAGUGGGUGAAGAAUCUUUUCAUCCAUUCCUUGGAUAUUUGCAUAUUUUCUGGAAAUAUUUUUGCCAACUUCGGGCUCAUUGUUCCUUUCAUACUUAUUUGUAAACCACUGGAUGGCUAAACUGGUGAAUUCCCUCAAACCCUCUGCAAAUCCUCCACUCCAUCUCAAGUAUGCCUUGACUGGGAGAAGGCUCUGCCUGACUUCCAUUGUGCUUGUCCUUGGAUUCCAGAGUUUACAUGGUCACUGCAAUGAAUUGUGGCUCACAAUCAGCAGGAAGAUCGGGGCCCUGAUAUGGGGACAGACUGCAGUCCAGACUCUCCUCGCUGGUUUCCACAGAUGCCUUGGGCAUGUCUUGGGGUUAGCUCUAUGCCAACUUCUCAGUGGUUUUGGGGAACCCCCAACUCCUUCAACAUGGACAGUGAUACCUGGAGGGUAGUGGCACCAGUAGCCAACAGACCCAGGCCUGAAGUGUUCCCUUAAUCCACAAUGAUCAGAUUUGCUCACUUGAUUAUCUACUUGUUUCUUGCCUAACCUCCUUAGAGGGAGUGUGCCCAGCUUGCUCAGUGAGUGAUGUAAUCCAGCACCAAUAACUGGUGCUGGCAUCCAGAAGGAGCCCAAUGAUUGCUGAAUAAUGGAGGAACUCUAUUGGACUUUUUGUCUACUUUUCUCUCUUUUGGCCUUUAAAUGGAUAGAAUUUGUGACUUUUGUCUUCAGGCGGCCUGCUCUUGGAACCUGAACAGCAAGACACUAGGCUUCCCUGCAACCCAGCAAGCAGGAGAGAAAACCUCUAAUUUUACUGUGGGCCAUGCCUGGAAGGCAGGUGGUCAUCCAUGUUUCAACCCAAGACCUGCUGUUCUUGUGGAGCUUGGCUCCCUAAAGACUGACUCCCAGCCUCUCUCUGCUCAUCUGUACAAUGGGGCUGGGGUGGAGCCUCUGGCUCCCUGCUCUCAGAGCUCUAGAGCCCCACGGCUUGGGUGGAAUCUCAGCUUUCUUAUUAGGUGUAUCACCUUGAUACUUUGGUGCUUUGUGCUUGUUUCCUCUUCUGCAAAUGGGACAAAUAAGAGUAACUGCUUCAUAGGGUUGUGGCAAGCAUUGAAUAAGACUGCAUGGAAAGUGCCCACUUCCGAAAUUUGUGUCUCCAUGCCUUGGGAUCUCCGAGGUGGGAAUAACAAUCGUCCCAUGUUUGCUCCCAGGAGCAUUUAUUGGUUGUUUCCUGUACACCAACCAUCUGGACUGCCUUCUUUCAGCCUCCUACAAGCCUUCAGGAGUGACUACUAGUUGUCUUCUUGCUGACCCAUGAGGAAAAAAAGCUGCAGAGACUUGCCCAAGGUCACUGGCCUUGUUUUCAAUUGCUGCCAUUAGCAAAUGACCACCUAUUUAUCAGCUUAAAACUGCAAACAGUUAUUGUCUCACAGUCCAUUGGGGUCAGCUGGUCCUCUGCUCUCAGUGUCAGGUUGCUGAAAUCCAGGGGUUGGCAGGGCUGUGUUCUUGUCUGGGGGUCCUGGGGAAGAUCCCACUUUUAAGUUCAUUCAGAUUGUUGGCAGAAUUUAGUUCCACAUGGAUGUAGGACUGAAGUCCCGUUCUUAUUGACAGGGGGCGGGGGUUGGGGGACAUCCUCAGCUUCUGGAGGCCACCCACACUCUUUGGCUCCUGGCCCCCUUCAUGCCAGCAUUGGUGCUUACAUCUUUCUCAUGCUUCAAAUCUCUUUUCCCUCCCUGCUGCUUUAUCUCCUGACUUCUUCCCCUGCACCUUGGCCUUCCUCUUCUGCUUUGAAGGGAUCCAGUGAUUACAUUCGCCUCACCUAGAUAAUCCAGAAUACUUUUUUUUUAAUUAAAAAAAUUUUUUAGAGGUAGCAGCCAUCUAUUACUGCGCAUCAUGGCUGCCCUCAGACCGCUGGUGAAGCCCAAGAUUGUUAAAAAGAGGACCAAGAAGUUCAUCCAGCACCAGUCAGAUCGAUGUGUCAAAAUUAAGUGCAACUGGCAGAAACCCAGAGGCACUGACAAUAGGGUGUGCAGAAGAUUCAAGGGCCAGAUCUUGAUGCCCAACACUGGUUAUGGGAGCAAUAAGAAAACAAAGCACAUGCUGCCCAGUGGCUUCUGGAAGUCCACAAAGUCAAAGAGCUUCAAGUGCUGCUGAUGUGCAACAGAUCUUACCAUGCAGAGACUGCUCACAACGUAUUCUCCAAGAGGCAAAGCCAUUGUGGAAAGAGCAGUCCAGCUGGCCAUCAGAGUCACCAAUUCCAAUGCCAGGCUGCACAGCGGAGAAAAUGAAUAGACAGCUUAUGUGCGUGUUAUAUGUGUUAAUAAAACCAUAAAACUAUACAUUUUUUAAGGAAUAAUUUACUUUAGAAAGAGAGAGAGCCUGUAAGCGAGAGCACGAGCAAGGGGAGGGGCAGAGGGAGAGAAGCAGA